AGGACUAUAAAAUCAAGGGCAGCUUGGGCUUCACAGAGACGGAGAUGUUUGGGCCUCAGACACUUAGUACGGGCUGUUUUGUUGGUGGUAAUGGCACUACUUGUUUGGCACUCUUAUGAAAACAUGUCACACACAUUGCAAAGCUUGUGCACCAGAGAGAGCUCUGUAGCUUACUCUUGCCCAAGGCAUCCUUUCUGGGGUUCCACUUACCCAGCUAUGGCAUCAAUGCCUUGGUCUGACCCAUGGAGGGUUAUGAGGACUGGCUAGACUCCAGAGAAGAACGGAAUUUCUCUGUAAACACUGAUGCAUAAGCAUAUCAAGAACUUAACCUGACUCUGGAGAGAAACACAAGACAAAGGUGAGUAGUAAUGUUAAACUGAGCAAAAAUCCUGCGAUUUACAUUUACA